rnacentral:rRNA from 1 species
AAACUUUCAACAACGGAUCUCCUGGCUCUGGCAUCGAUGAAGAACGCAGCGAAACGCGAUAAGUAAUGUGAAUUGCAGAAUCCAGUGAAUCAUCGAAUCUUUGAACGCACAUUGCGCCCGCCAGCAUUCUGGCGGGCAUGCCUGUUCGAGCGUCAUUUC